AUAACUAGCCGUCUAAUAAUGCUAAAUUAAGCACUCACAUAAUCAUGUCGGCGCAAUUUGCACAAAAUUUAUUUGUGAAACAUUUUAUUUUAGUCCAUUGUAUUACAACAUUUUGCACCAGAAAUGUGAAAAUCUUACCAGCCAGCAGCCGUCGAAGCCUCUGAUUAAUAACAUGUAAUGAAAAGACAAGAGGGUGGCGCCGGCUCAACAAACCUUUCGAUCUUUCUAUUUUGUCCCAAAUCCUGGUUAAUUAAAGAUUAAUGGUUGUUUUAUUUCAACAGAAGCAAACAAAGUGGCCGAUUUUAGGGCAAAGAUUGAGUCUGUUCAAGAUGGAGCUGUUGAUUGUUUUCACGAAUUUUGUCUUUUUAUUUUUUAGAUUUCAAAUUAGGUCAAAUAGUUA
rnacentral:lncRNA from 1 species